UGCGGACAGCCCAGCUGGUGUAUGACCGA
rnacentral:piRNA from 1 species